UACAGAACUGUGCAACAUAAUAUUCUUGAGUUAAUUUUACAUUAUGCUGAAUUUAUGGAGUUCAUUUUACAGAUAAAACUGGAAAUAGCCAAACAUUGAGUUGGAGAGAACGAAUUCAGAUAGCAGUGGAAGCCGCACAAGGUCUGGAGUAUCUACACAAGGGAUGUGUGCCACCUAUAAUCCAUAGAGAUGUGAAGACUAACAAUAUCCUCUUAACACAUGACUUUGAGGCAAAGGUAGCAGAUUUUGGGCUGUCAAAGCCUUUCCUGACCGAUGCCCAGACUCACGUAUCUACUGAUGUUGUGGCUGGCACUCCAGGAUACAUAGAUCCCGAGUACUCUGCUACUUUCCAGCUGACUGAAAAAAGUGAUGUAUACAGCUUCGGAGUUGUUCUUCUGGAACUGGUUACUGGUCAAUCAGCCGUGUUGGAUCAACCAAAAAGGUCACUUAGUCCAAUGGGUACUAUCGAGGCUAGCUGAAGCCGACAUCACUAAGGUGGCUGAUCCAAAACUCGGAGGGCAAUACGACAACUGCUCUGUCCUAAAGGUCAUUGAUUUAGCAAUGAGAUGUGUUGAUAUCUCUGCUCAUCAGAGGCCAACCAUGACCGAAGUGGUGAUGCGAUUGAAGGAGAACUUGCAACCAGAGAACAACGAUGGAAGUGACCCAAACGCAUAAGCUAUGUUUGCUUGUCUCUCAGUUUAGAGUUUCCGUUUGUCAAAUUUGUAAAUGUAAAAUUGUGUGAGAACAAAUUGUGUUUGGAUCAUAAUGUUUGAUGAGAGCUGGGUAGGCUCCAAAGUCUCCUAUGAGAAAUCAUUCAUCCAUGUAUGAGUACUGCCUGUGGACUUACUUGCAAGCAAGCAACAGGUGAUUCUUUCUCUUGUAACAGCAAACCAAAUGGUGUACAAACGCCGAUACUUUGUAUGGCUUAGAUGCAUGUUAGCGUACAUGUGGCUCUUAAAGAAAUCAAGUAAGAUGGAUUGGAUUUGGGUGA